rnacentral:rRNA from 1 species
AUUGAACGCUGGCGGCAUGCCUUACACAUGCAAGUCGAACGGCAGCACGGGAGCAAUCCUGGUGGCGAGUGGCGAACGGGUGAGUAAUAUAUCGGAACGUGCCCGGUCGUGGGGGAUAACGUAGCGAAAGCUACGCUAAUACCGCAUACGAUCUACGGAUGAAAGCGGGGGAUCGCAAGACCUCGCGCGAUUGGAGCGGCCGAUAUCAGAUUAGGUAGUUGGUGAGGUAAAGGCUCACCAAGCCGACGAUCUGUAGCUGGUCUGAGAGGACGACCAGCCACACUGGGACUGAGACACGGCCCAGACUCCUACGGGAGGCAGCAGUGGGGAAUUUUGGACAAUGGGCGCAAGCCUGAUCCAGCAAUGCCGCGUGCAGGAUGAA